rnacentral:lncRNA from 1 species
GCACGGGUGGGGGCCCCUCUCCUUAGUAAUCUUCCUGAUUGAAAAGAGGCGUAAAAUAUGCAAAAAAAAAAAAAAAUAAUUAAAUAUUUAUUAAGUUAGUAGCUUAAGAUAUAAAAACAUAGCCUAUAAAAACAAUUACAUGGAUAGAAACAUAAUAAAAUAUAUGGUAUGUUCAAAUGAAACCCGUUCGAAACGCUCCACUUGAUGAGUUGACAUUUCAGUUUUGGAACGUGAAUUUUAAAGUGAAGCUGUGUGUGUUGCGCAUGAGCAGUGCUCUUAAACUGUGCAUUUGUAUGAUUUUUAAACACGUGACGCAAUAUUAAAGACUGUUGGUAUGAUUGAAAAUCCGUCCAAGCAGAUAUUCGAGUUAUAAUUCAAUUUUUAACAGCUGAGAGAUGUAAUCCAGUGGUGCUGACCCGCAUGCUGACUGAUCAUCACAAGAAACAUUGAAUGGACUUUAACUUGCAGCAUUUGAUGCGGUACUGCAAUGAAGACGAACAAUUUCUGCGGCGCAUAGUGAUGUUUCAUUACUAUGCGUUACAGAAACUUUCCACUAUUCAUAUAAAGAUGAAACUAACUUAAAACGCACAAUUAAAAUCUGAAAACAACAAUACAUUUAAUGUGUUCUAUAUGUAUGCAGCAAAUCAUAAACUCUUUGUUUCGGAUGAAUGUUGGAGGGGGAAAUUAAUAGUCACAGCUAAUUUGAUGAAUAUUUCUAGUUAUGACUGUUAAUUUCUUUUUCUGACAUUCAUUUGAAACGGGGGGUUUAUCAUUUGCUGCAUGUCCAGUCUUAUUUACCAAAGAAUAAACACAAAGAUCUCCUCGAUGAUGGAAUUUUAUCAGCCACCUGGAAACGCGGUAGGUUUAUUCUUCCUCAUACUUACGGGUGAAGAUUUUAAAUAUAUUAACAAAAAAGAUUUAUUAUAUUACGAAAUCAAAUGCCUCGAAAAUAAACAUUUCUUUAUCAUUUUUAUCAUAUACUCCAUGGUUGUUAAUAAAUUUUCUUUUUUCUUCUGAACUUUGUUUACAUUAUUUUCUGAGGAGUCUUUAAUUAAUAUAGCGCUUAUUUGAUUAGUCGAAAUUCUAGGUUCAGAAUUACUAGUUUCCUCAGACACAAUAAUUUGAUUAUUUCCUGUUAUAUGAAUUAAGUUUUGCCUAUUUCUAGUCGGAGUUGGCAUCUUAAAGUAUAUCUAGCUGAUGAAGUUUGGAGGCGCUCGUAUCGGCUGUGAUUGUGAUGGUUUUUUUGUCAACAUUUGAAAAAUGAUGAAAAGUGGUUCUGUCACCACUUUUCAUUCAGGAAGAAUACUAAGUGACGGGGCGAAACAAGCCCUUCCACAUGCUCCCCACUCCUAUGGAGGAGUCAGCCG